rnacentral:sRNA from 1 species
GCUCCCAUGCCACGUUAUAGUUGGCUGA